GACAUCCUCGGGGGGCAGCAGGGAGGAAUAUUGGUCAAUGGGCGGGAGCCUGAACCAGCCAAGCCGCGUGAGGGAAGAAGGUACAGCGUAUCGUAAACCUCUUUUGUCAGGGAACAAAGGCGGGGACUAGUCCCCGGAUGAGGGUACCUGAAGAAAAAGCAUCGGCUAACUCCGUGCCAGCAGCCGCGGUAAUACGGAGGAUGCGAGCGUUAUCCGGAUUUAUUGGGUUUAAAGGGUGCGCAGGCGGCCUGUUAAGUCAGCGGUAAAAGCCCGGGGCUCAAGCCCGGCGAG
rnacentral:rRNA from 1 species